AGCAAACAGGAUUAGAUACCCUGGUAGUCCACGCCGUAAACGAUGUGAACUAGUUGUUGGAGCCUUAAGGUUUCAGUGACGCAGCUAACGCAUUAAGUUCACCGCCUGGGGAGUACGGCCGCAAGGUUAAAACUCAAAGGAAUUGACGGGGACCCGCACAAGCGGUGGAGCAUGUUCUUUAAUUCGAAGCAACGCGAAGAACCUUACCUACACUUGACAUACCUAUCGGGAUUAGCAGAGAUGCUUUUCUUCGGUUCGGCCGGAUAGGAUACAGGUGCUGCAUGGCUGUCGUCAGCUCGUGUCGUGAGAUGUAGGUUAAGUCCUGCAACGAGCGCAACCCUCGCCAUCUGUUGCCAGCAUUAAGUUGGGCACUCUGAUGGUACUGCCGGUGAUAAGCCGGAGGAAGGUGGGGACGACGUCAAGUCAUCAUGGCCCUUACGUGUAGGGCUAGAAACGUGCUACAAUGGCAACUACAAUGGGCAGCGAACUCGCGAGGGUGAGCGAAUCUCAAAAAGUUGUCUCAGUUCGGAUUAUUCUCUGCAACUCGAGAGUAUGAAGUUGGAAUCGCUAGUAAUCGUGGAUCAGCAUGCCACGGUGAAUACGUUCCCGGGUCUUGUACACACCGCCCGUCAAGUCAUGGGAGUUGACUUUACCCGAAGGCGCUGCGCCAACCGCAAGGAGGCAGGCGACCACGGUAGGGUUAGCGACUGGGACUAAGUCGUAACAAGGUAGCCGUAGGGGAACCUGCGGCUG
rnacentral:rRNA from 1 species